rnacentral:tmRNA from 1 species
GGGGUCGACUGGUUUUGACAGCAAGUCGAAUUGAUAAGUAAGCACGUCGAGCAUUGAGACCUUGCUCGUAAAUAUAAGAUCUUACAAUUUUACACGGCGAAAAUAACUACGCUCUAGCUGCAUAAUCUGAAUUAUAGUAAGAUUAGCCUCGUUCCUAUCAGAUAGGAAAGCAGGAUUCUCCUUGAAAGCCUUGGUUUGUGGCGGUCAGUUAAGGAGAACCGUAAAAAUAAACCUAGAUUUCCAUGAGCUUCGGGUGGAUUUCGAAAUUAAGAAGAUAAGUAGUGUGUGGCUGUUUCUGGCCCAGCAUACUAUCGAAAAUCUAAUCAGAAAAUAAACGCGUAGAAAGCCUUUUAGUUGCUUGUUUGGACCCGAGUUCGAUUCUCGGCGACUCCACAA